rnacentral:rRNA from 1 species
GGGUUGUGAGGUUAAGCGACUAAGCGUACACGGUGGAUGCCCUGGCAGUCAGAGGCGAUGAAGGACGUGCUAAUCUGCGAUAAGCGUCGGUAAGGUGAUAUGAACCGUUAUAACCGGCGAUUUCCGAAUGGGGAAACCCAGUGUGAUUCGUCACACUAUCAUUAACUGAAUCCAUAGGUUAAUGAGGCGAACCGGGGGAACUGAAACAUCUAAGUACCCCGAGGAAAAGAAAUCAACCGAGAUUCCCCCAGUAGCGGCGAGCGAACGGGGAGGAGCCCAGAGCCUGAAUCAGUGUGUGUGUUAGUGGAAGCGUCUGGAAAGGCGCGCGAUACAGGGU